AUACCUAAACCAUAAAGAAUUUUAAUGGCAAAAAUAUCAAAAAAAUCAUGAAAUUUUAAAUUUGGGAUGAUUUAAUCUUGAACUUCACGGAAGACAAAUAAAUCGUAAAGUUUUUUU
rnacentral:sRNA from 1 species